AAAAGAGAGCCGAAUUGCUGGAGGCUUCGGUCAUUCCAGACAAGGAUUUCGCUUUUCCGCAGUACUCUCAGAAGGUGCAUCUGGUUUGGGGCGAGAAUGACAGGAUCUUCCCUGCUGAAGUAGCCAAAUCACUGAAAGAAAAUUUGGGAGAUAAUGCAACACUGGUAUGCAUUGAGAAAGCAGGCCAUAUUGUUGCUUUGGAGAGACCUUUAGUCUACAAUAAAUGUUUGAAGAAAAUUCUGGCCUCUAUUUACAAAGCUGGACACACAAAAUAGUUGGGUCGCAAAAUUUUUUCUGAUGACUACUAUGACAAUUAGCAGAAUAAUUUGUUAAAAAGAUUACAAAUAUCGUCAAUUUGUAUGGUUUGCACCUUGAUGAAUUUGUUUUAAGUUAGACACAUGCACUUGAUUAUCACAAUUAAUAACAAUUC